rnacentral:rRNA from 1 species
GACGUAGGUGGCGAACGUUAUCCGGAAUUAUUGGGCGUAAAGGGUGCGUAGAUGGUGUGAUAAGUUAUCAGUGGGAAAUCGAGGCUCAACCUCGUGGAAGUUGGUAAUACUAUUAUACUAGAGUGCAGGAGAAGUUAACGGAACUCCAUGUGGAGCGGUAAAAUGCGUAGAUAUAUGGAAGAACAUCAAUAACGGCGAAGGCAGUUAACUAUUCUGUUACUGACAUUGAGGCACGAAAGCGUGGGGAGCAAAACGG